rnacentral:rRNA from 1 species
CAGGACGAACGCUGGCGGCGUGCCUAACACAUGCAAGUCGAGCGAGGAGAUCCUCGGGAUGAUCCUAGCGGCGGACGGGUGAGUAACACGUGGGCAACCUGCCUCAUAGAGAGGAAUAGCCUUCCGAAAGGGAGAUUAAUACCUCAUAACAUUGCAGUUUCGCAUGGAACAGCAAUUAAAGGAGCAAUCCACUAUGAGAUGGGCCCGCGGCGCAUUAGCUAGUUGGUGAGGUAACGGCUCACCAAGGCGACGAUGCGUAGCCGACCUGAGAGGGUGAUCGGCCACAUUGGGACUGAGACACGGCCCAGACUCCUACGGGAGGCAGCAGUGGGGAAUAUUGCACAAUGGGGGAAACCCUGAUGCAAGCAACGCCGCGUGAGUGAUGACGGCCUUCGGGUUGUAAAGCUCUGUCUUCAGGGACGAUAAUGACGGUACCUGAGGAGGAAGCCACGGCUAACUACGUGCCAGCCGCAGC